GGGUAUAGCUCAGUGGUAGAGUACAUGCUUAGCAUGCAAGAGGUUCUGGGUUCAAGUCCUAGUACAUCCA
rnacentral:tRNA from 1 species